CCCCUCUCAGGGUCAUACCUGGAGAGUUUCCAGUACUCUACCAGUCUAGGCUAUAGGAGGGAGAGUCAAGCAGUGGCCUACCCAUUCCAUUCCUAGUUUGGCCGGUGGCUAGUUAGUGGAAGGUCACCUUCUACAAGU